rnacentral:rRNA from 1 species
GACGAACGCUGGCGGCGUGCUUAACACAUGCAAGUCGAACGGAAAGGCCUGCUUUCCCUUGUGGGUUGCGGGUACGCGCGUGGCGAACGGGCGAGAAACACGUGAGUGAUCUGCUCCCAACUUGGGUAUAAGCCAGGGCAACUGGGUCUAAUUCCCGUUAGGACCGCAGGGUGGUGCCGGUGGUGGUAACCGACUUGGUAGGGCUUGGGGUUGAGCUGGUUGCUGAUCAGCUUGUUGGUGGGGUAAGGGCCUACCAAGGCGGCGACGGGUAGCCGGCCGGAGACGGCGGACGGCGACAUUGGGACAGAGUUACGGCCCAGACUCGUACGGGAGGCAGCAGUGGGGAGUAGUGCGGAGUAGGCGGAAGCGGGCUGCAGCGACGUGGCGUGGGGGAUGACGGCCUUCGGGUUGUAACCGCCUGUCGACCGCGAGGAGGCGACCUGGAUGGAAGGGUGGUGACGGUAGUGGUAGAAGAAGCACCGGCUAACUACGUG